rnacentral:lncRNA from 1 species
CCCAAAUUCAAACAUCUAUAUUAAGUCAACUAUUAUGAAUCCAAACUAGAAAUAUCUAAAUCACACAAGUAAGUACAACAUGUAGAGAAAACACGUAAACAAAUAAUGCAAAAUGUAAGUAGCUAUAUGUGACUCCAAUAUAGGACCACUUGUUUUGCUUGCAAUUUCAAAUAGUCAAAGAUGUAGUGAAGAUUCCAUGUGCUCUUUUGUUAUCACUUCCGUUUCUAUUUGGAAGUAAUAUAAAAGACAAGAGCAGUAGAUGAGUGACAAUGAAGAGAAAGAUGUCAUCUUCGGGUAUAGCGAUGAUGAGGUUGAGUCUCAAAACGAGACUCUUUGUGCUCCAUUGCCAUGAAAAAAAAACAAAGAAACAAAAUAAAGGGAAUUAGAAGAAGAACAGAUUUAGCAAGUAAAAAUAUAAGAAGGACAAAAAAAUAAAUUCCUUAGCAUCACAUAUUAGAGAUGUAACUAGCUGCAAAGAGAAAACAUACGUGAAAACUUGAUACAAUUAACAAAUCAAAACUUGGAGAGGGCUAAAGGAAUCACUGUACAACUUAUUCUUUAGGAAUUUAAUCUAAAAUUAACUCAUAGUCUCUAAAGUAUUGUUUAAAGGUAUAUGCCAUGAUUUUUGUUUAGACAAAUGAUAUAUUUAUAUGGUACAGAUGAUGAACUUUCCAUAUAGAACAAACAUGUAUUUGGAAAGGUUAAACACAUUAUAUUUUUUAUCUUAGAUGUAAAUAUAAUAUGUAGAUUAACAGAAGGAAUUCUUGAGACAUAGCUGAAUAUUCACCCUUAAAAAAAAGGUUUCUGACGAUUUAAUUAGUUACGGGAUUUAAAAGAUGAACAACAUAUAAUGCAAAACAGUGAUUGAAACAAUGCUUAAUACGUCAAAAGUUUAAAGUUUAAUCGCAGAAAGUACUCGGUCUAUGUAUGAUUUUCGCUUAAAUCUAUUUGGACAGAAUGCAUAAUUUUACCAAAUGAAACAGAUUUUAAGAACAUUGUAUCAAAUAGUUUAAACAAACAAAUAAGAUACCAAUCCUAAAUCCCAUAUACAAGCAGACCUUAACAUUUGCUCCUAUAUACAAAGUUGAACACAUGAUUAUUGUCUUAAUGACGAACACUAAUAACGGCUUAAAGAAAAAGUGUUGUUCAUCUUGUAUUCCUAAGAUACUUAGAANNNNNNNNNNNNNNNNNNNNNNNNNNNNNNNNNNNNNNNNNNNNNNNNNNNNNNNNNNNNNNNNNNNNNNNNNNNNNNNNNNNNNNNNNNNNNNNNNNNNUUUUUUUUUUUUUUUUUUUCCGUCUUCAAACAGAAUUAAACAUAUUCUUUAUCAGGAAUGUUUUUAUUUUCAAUAGCCUUCCAACUAUAACAUUUUGACAUACUAUUUUAUCAAAUAAAAAUAUGCAUCUCUCAUUUUGCAAACUAAAGAAUUUUAAAGGCAACACUAUUUGCUAAGCAAAAUUCAUUCCACAACAAAUGGUUUGCAAAUCUUUUUUUUCAAAGAUACACAUGAUAAAAAAAAAUUCAAAAUUGUUAACUCUUAGAAACUAUUUUCCUUCUUAGAUAAAUAAUAAGAAGGUUACAUGGUGUAAUCUUUAUUCGGAAUAGCACCAAUUUUUUUCUGUACACUCUCACUUCGACCUUGCUAAACAAAGCACCAAAUUCUAGAGAAGUAAUGCAUUAAUCUUCUACUUCCAUGAUCUGUUUCUCUCAAUCAGUAGAAUACAAGAAAUACCAACAGUAUAAUAAUUUCCUUAAGAUUGUUGUUCAUCUUGUAUUCCUAAGAUACUUAGAACAAAACUUUGAAGAACUUGGUAAGAAACAACAGAGUUUAAAGAGUAUUUUCAAAACUAGGAAAUCAAAACUGGUAGAGAAAAUCAAAUCAGAAACAAAUUAGAAACAAUAUAAAAAUAUUUUUCUCAAAGAAAGAAAAUUAAGCCCACUGAAUGCACAGUGUCCCUUUAAGGGAAUUAUUCCCCUAAAGUACCCGAGGUUAAUGGAAUAUAUUUUCUUUUAAAAUGAGAGGAAAUCCCUCAAUUUAUAGAAAGCAGAGGGUAGUGUGAAAAGGUUCUUAUUGUGCCUUACCGGAAAGGUCACAAACCUUUGAAAAGUAACAAUCUUUCGGAAAGGUCACCACCUUUCAUAAAAGUCACAACUUUUCAUAAAAGUAGCAACUUUUGAUAAAAGUCACAACUUUUCAUAAAAGUAGCAACUUUUGAUAAAAGUCACAACUUUUCAUAAAAGUAGCAACUUUUGAUAAAAGUCACAACUUUUCAUAAAAGUAGCAACUUUUGAUAAAAGUCACAACUUUUCAUAAAAGUAGCAACUUUUGAUAAAAGUCACAACUUUUCAUAAAAGUAGCAACUUUUGAUAAAAGUCACAACUUUUCAUAAAAGUAGCAACUUUUGAUAAAAGUCACAACUUUUCAUAAAAGUAGCAACUUUUGAUAAAAGUCACAACUUUUCAUAAAAGUAGCAACUUUUGAUAAAAGUCACAACUUUUCAUAAAAGUCGCAACUUUUGAUAAAAGUCACAACUUUUCAUAAAAGUCGCAACUUUUGAUAAAAGUCACAACUUUUCAUAAAAGUCGCAACUUUUGAUAAAAGUCACAACUUUUCAUAAAAGUCGCAACUUUUGAUAAAAGUCACAACUUUUCAUAAAAGUCGCAACUUUUGAUAAAAGUCACAACUUUUCAUAAAAGUCGCAACUUUUGAUAAAAGUCACAACUUUUCAUAAAAGUCGCAACUUUUGAUAAAAGUCACAACUUUUCAUAAAAGUCGCAACUUUUGAUAAAAGUCACAACUUUUCAUAAAAGUCGCAACUUUUGAUAAAAGUCACAACUUUUCAUAAAAGUCGCAACUUUUGAUAAAAGUCACAACUUUUCAUAAAAGUCGCAACUUUUGAUAAAAGUCACAACUUUUCAUAAAAGUCGCAACUUUUGAUAAAAGUCACAACUUUUCAUAAAAGUCGCAACUUUUGAUAAAAGUCACAACUUUUCAUAAAAGUCGCAACUUUUGAUAAAAGUCACAACUUUUCAUAAAAGUCGCAACUUUUGAUAAAAGUCACAACUCUUCAUAAUAGUCGCAACUUUUCAUCAAAGUCACAACUCUUCAUAAAAGUCGCAACUCUUCAUUUUCCAUUCACACCUUUUAAAACCCAACAAAAAGUUAAAAGAUUCACUAACCACGACAAAUAAUACAAAACUAACAUAUGAUCAAAGAUGAGCUAAUCAUUCAACUCCAUAACCAAAGAAAGGAUGAGAAUAAAAUGUUACUGACCUAUUUUGGAGCAGUGAACUUGGGGCGUUUUCGGUCGAAGAUCUACUCUCGAAUACGAAGACGAGGUUAAGCCCGUUCAAAUCCAAAAUUGCGAAGAACAAGACUUUAAAACUAGGUGUGAUAGCUUCAAAGCUUUUAGGGAAAACGAGUAGCUGAAAAAAAUUCUUGAAAUUAAUUCCAAAUACCAGUAUUUAUAGGUAAAAAAUAGGUUCUUG